AGUGGCGAACGGGUGAGUAACACGUGAGUAACCUGCCCUUGACUCUGGGAUAAGCGCUAGAAAUGGCGUCUAAUACCGGAUACGAGCUUCAGCCGCAUGGCUAGGAGUUGGAAAGAAUUUUGGUCAAGGAUGGACUCGCGGCCUAUCAGCUAGUUGGUGAGGUAAUGGCUCACCAAGGCGACGACGGGUAGCCGGCCUGAGAGGGUGACCGGCCACACUGGGACUGAGACACGGCCCAGACUCCUACGGGAGGCAGCAGUGGGGAAUAUUGCACAAUGGGCGAAAGCCUGAUGCAGCAACGCCGCGUGAGGGAUGACGGCCUUCGGGUUGUAAACCUCUUUUAGUAGGGAAGAAGCGAAAGUGACGGUACCUGCAGAAAAAGCACCGGCUAACUACGUGCCAGCAGCCGCGGUAAUACGUAGGGUGCAAGCGUUGUCCGGAAUUAUUGGGCGUAAAGAGCUCGUAGGCGGUUUGUCGCGUCUGCUGUGAAAUCUGGGGGCUCAACCCCCAGCCUGCAGUGGGUACGGGCAGACUAGAGUGCGGUAGGGGAGAUUGGAAUUCCUGGUGUAGCGGUGGAAUGCGCAGAUAUCAGGAGGAACACCGAUGGCGAAGGCAGAUCUCUGGGCCGUAACUGACGCUGAGGAGCGAAAGCAUGGGGAGCGAACAGGAUUAGAUACCCUGGUAGUCCAUGCCGUAAACGUUGGGAACUAGAUGUGGGGGCCAUUCCACGGUCUCCGUGUCGCAGCUAACGCAUUAAGUUCCCCGCCUGGGGAGUACGGNCGCAAGGCUAAAACUCAAAGGAAUUGACGGGGGCCCGCACAAGCGGCGGAGCAUGCGGAUUAAUUCGAUGCAACGCGAAGAACCUUACCAAGGCUUGAC
rnacentral:rRNA from 1 species